rnacentral:rRNA from 1 species
CCCUUAGAUGUUCUGGGCCGCACGCGCGCUACACUGAUGCAUUCAACAAGCCUAGCCUUGACCGAGAGGUCCGGGUAAUCUUUGAAACUGCAUCGUGAUGGGGCUAGAUUAUUGCAAUUAUUAAUCUUCAACGAGGAAUGCCUAGUAAGCGUGAUUCAUCAAAUCGCGUUGAUUACGUCCCUGCCCUUUGUACACACCGCCCGUCGCUCCUACCGAUUGAACGUGUUGGUGAGGAGCUCGGAUUGGCAGCAGUUGGUGGUUCGCCACCGGCUAUUGCUGAGAAGUCCUCCAAACCGCCCCAUUUAGAGGAAGGAGAAGUCGUAACA